UACAUACUCCCUCCAUUCGGAAAUACUUGUCGGAGAAAUGGAUGUAUCCAGACGCCUUUUAGUUCUAGAUACUUCCAUUUUACCCAUUUCUCCAACAAGUAUUUUCGGACUGAGGUAGUAAAAA
rfam:Triticum aestivum genome assembly, contig: Triticum_aestivum_CS42_TGACv1_scaffold_112076_2AS